ensembl:snRNA U6 U6 spliceosomal RNA
GUGCUCACUUCAGCAACACAUACACUAAAAUUGGAAUGAUAUAGAGAAGAUUAGCAUGGCCCCUGCACAAGGAUGACAUGGGAAUUCCUCAAGUGUUCCAUAUUUUA